rnacentral:misc_RNA from 1 species
GACAAAUCCAAAACCACGGGAGCGCCCAGAAAAUUUGUCAACAACUACCUUGGCCUCGACAAGAUGGCCAAACUUUUCAAACGCCUCUUUGAGACCUCUGUCAGAUGUUGACCAAGAAAGGCCGCCAAUAAAGCAGCGAUACUCCACCUCGUCAGCCAUUAUGAGAGAAUUUAUGAAGAAGGGAAGCCCUAGGAAUUGGAUUCCGUAGCGAGAGAACCUAAAAGAUGGAGAAGGCAAAGUGAGGGUGAG